rnacentral:rRNA from 1 species
UACAGAGGUCUCAAGCGUUGUUCGGAUUCAUUGGGCGUAAAGGGUGUGUAGGUGGCGCCGUAAGUCGGGUGUGAAAUUUCGGAGCUUAACUCCGAAACUGCAUUCGAUACUGCGGUGCUUGAGGACUGGAGAGGAGACUGGAAUUCACGGUGUAGCAGUGAAAUGCGUAGAGAUCGUGAGGAAGACCAGUGGCGAAGGCGGAUCUCUGGACAGUUCCUGACGCUGAGGCGCGAAGGCCAGGGGAGCAAACGGG